rnacentral:rRNA from 1 species
GCAUAUCAAUAAGCGGAGGAAAAGAAACCAACAGGGAUUGCUCUAGUAACGGCGAGUGAAGCAGCAAUAGUUCAAAUUUGAAAUCUGGCGUCUUCGACGUCCGAGUUGUAAUUUGUAGAGGAUGCUUCUGAGUGGCCACCGACCUAAGUUCCUUGGAACAGGACGUCAUAGAGGGUGAGAAUCCCGUAUGCGGUCGGAAAGGCGCUCUAUACGUAGCUCCUUCGACGAGUCGAGUUGUUUGGGAAUGCAGCUCUAAAUGGGAGGUAAAUUUCUUCUAAAGCUAGAUAUUGGCCAGAGACCGAUAGCGCACAAGUAGAGUGAUCGAAAGAUGAAAAGCACUUUGGAAAGAGAGUUAAAAAGCACGUGAAAUUGUUAAAAGGGAAGGGAUUGCAACCAGACUUGCUCGCGGUGUUCCGCCGGUCUUCUGACCGGUCUACUCGCCGCGUUGCAGGCCAGCAUCGUCUGGUGCCGCUGGAUAAGACUUGAGGAAUGUAGCUCCCUCGGGAGUGUUAUAGCCUCUUGUGAUGCAGCGAGCGCCGGGCGAGGUCCGCGCUUCGGCUAGGAUGCUGGCGUAAUGGUCGUAAUCCGCCCGUCUUGAAACACGGACC